rnacentral:rRNA from 1 species
UACGGAGGGUGCAAGCGUUAUCCGGAAUCAUUGGGUUUAAAGGGUCCGCAGGCGGAUUUAUAAGUCAGUGGUGAAUGCCCGUCGCUCAACGACGGAACUGCCAUUGAUACUGUAAGUCUUGAAUUCGGUCGAAGUGGGCGGAAUAUGACAUGUAGCGGUGAAAUGCUUAGAUAUGUCAUAGAACACCGAUAGCGAAGGCAGCUCACUAGGCCUGGAUUGACGCUCAGGGACGAAAGCGUGGGGAGCAAACAGG